rnacentral:rRNA from 1 species
UGCCCACUGAUAAUUAAUUAAAGGGCUGCAGUAAUUUGACUGUACAAAGGUAGCAUAAUCAUUAGUCAUUUAAUUGAUGACUUGUAUGAAAGAUUGGAUGAAAUAUAAACUGUCUCUUAGUUAUAAUUAGAAUUUAAUUUUUUAAUUAAAAAGUUAAAAUAAAUUAAAAAGACGAGAAGACCCUAUAGAGUUUUAUAAAUAAAUUAAUUAAAAUUAUUAUUAAAAUAAAUAAAUUGAAAUUAAUUUAUUUAUUUUGUUGGGGUGAUAAAAAAAUAUAUAAAACUUUUUUUAAAAAAAAAAUACAUAUAUAAGUGAAAAAUUGAUCCAGUAUUAUUGAUUAAAAGAAAAAAUUACCUUAGGGAUAACAGCGUAAUUUUUUUUUUUAGUUCAUAUAAAAAAAAGAGUUUGCGACCUCGAUGUUGGAUUAAGAUAAAAUUUAAAUGCAGAAGUUUAAAGUUUUUGA